GGAAUACAUCCUGCUAAGUUUGCUCAAAUCCUCACAAGAGACCCUCAAGUAAAUGCUUUUGCCAUUUUUAUUGGCUCUUUAGGUGAUCAAGCAACCAGGCUUCAGAGAACUUUACCAGCUGGUCGGUCUUUCGUUGCCAUGGAUACCAAGGAUAUCCCUCAGAUUUUACAACAGAUCUUCACCUCCACCAUGUUGUCGAGUGUCUAAGAAGUGCCCUUCAUCACCCUGAUGACACCAGGAUUUGAAAUAAGACAGGAAUAAAGAGUAUUCUGAAAAAAAGAAGAUAUGGAUGAAGUGAACCCAUGCAGUGACUGGAUGAUUCCGGCAUUCCUGGGUCUUCCUACACUUGCUCCGUAAUGAGAAUUCAGAGAAGCAGCCAGAAGGAGACUUAAACAUGGAAAGAUACUCCACUGAUGAGUUUAGAAGUGAUUAGGGCAAGCUAGUUGACCUGCACUUUAUCAAAGGUUGGGGUUAAAGGAAGGUGGUUUUGAGAACUAUGUGUUUGGUCUAUUUCCAAAAACCUGAGGGGGAGAAAAUACUUUGCUUUUGCCUUAACACAUCAUCUGGUCACGUUAGAAAAGUGACCCCAUCAAACUGAGCCUUUGAUGUCACAUUCUGACACAAGAUGCAAG
rnacentral:lncRNA from 1 species